rnacentral:rRNA from 1 species
AACGAACGCUGGCGGCAUGCCUAACACAUGCAAGUCGAACGAGACCUUCGGGUCUAGUGGCGCACGGGUGCGUGACGCGUGGGAAUCUGCCCUGGGUGCGGAAUAACUCGGAGAAAUCCGUGCUAAUACCGCAUAAUGUCUUCGGACCAAAGAUUUAUUGCCCUGGGAUGAGCCCGCGUAGGAUUAGCUAGUUGGUGAGGUAAAGGCUCACCAAGGCGACGAUCCUUAGCUGGUCUGAGAGGAUGAUCAGCCACACUGGGACUGAGACACGGCCCAGACUCCUACGGGAGGCAGCAGUGGGGAAUAUUGGACAAUGGGUGUAAGCCUGAUCCAGCCAUGCCGCGUGCAGGAAGAAGGCCUUCUGGGUUGUAAACUGCUUUUGCCGGGGGAUAAAAGAUCCAUGCGUGGAGAAUUGAAGGUACCCGGUGAAUAAGCCACGGCUAACUACGUGCCAGCAGCCGCGGUAAU